AAAUCCUAUAACACAGCCACUAUUAGGGUUAUAUUCAUGCGUCAUCGUUUCCUUUGCAAUAAAUCAAAAUCGACUCACACAGCGUCCAUCCAGCGAGCCAAUCAGCGCUCCGCAGGUCCGCGGUCCCGCCCACUGAACGGAGUCAGACCGAUUGAGAAAGCGGACUGAUGCAAGCUGUACUGUAGCGGUUAGUUUCUGCUUGUGUGUGUGCCUAAGAAAAAAACCACACACACAUGCUAAGCAGAAUUUCUUCAGUGUACCGAGUUGUGGUGACAAUAAAGGGGUUAUUCCUGCAUACCUGAUCAUCUCUGGUAAUCUCUCUAACUGGACACUUCCUAGUGGAUCUGUUAUCAACCGGCAAAUUCACAUGAAGAAAAGAAGCAAUAUCAGUAGCCAUUAAUUUUUACACUUUCUCUGAUUACUGUCAAGGGAAUCUGAAAGUUCAUUCACCUCCCUCAUCUGAAGUUUUCAUUGACAGCCUAUGUUUGACUGUGAAGAUAUACAGCAACAAGACUUGCCUUUACAGGCACAAUGGUCACAUGGAUGAAUUCCCAGAAAUCAUUUGCCUUUCUGUUACUGGGCAAAAGUGAAUCCUGAAAGUUUGAUUAGCUCAGCUUGUUGCUCAAGUUAUACUGGUUAAAUAUAAUAUUUAAACCCUGCUGUCUAGUUCUUGUUUCCUCAAUCUGCAUAAGCUGUUUCAACACACUAACUUUCUUUAGACUUAGAAGCUCAUGCAACUUGUCCUUAAAAGCAUAUUUCUUAAGCAUAUAAAACAUAUCAGCAUAAAAUAUUAAUCUUGCAAGGAAAAGGAGUGUUGUGACCACCUUUUUAUGACCACAGAGAGGCUGAUGAUUCUGCAACAAAGUGUUUUUGUGUGUGUGUGAGAGACACGCCUGUUGCACAUGCUCAGUGUGCUCCUACGAGACCUUGCAUGCAAGCCACAUCCUGUUUCACUCAAGAUAAAACAUCUGCUGUAAGAUUUGAGAAUAAUUCCAUAUCAGCUCGCCGGUUCAAACGGAUCUUUUAAACCUACUAGACAAGCCAUGGAUUUUGAGAACAGCAAAGAAGGAUGUAAAAAUUGCAAAGAGAACUGCAAUAACAAAUGCCAAUGUCACUGUCACACAAUAACCCAGAGUCCAAAACCUAGGCAAAUGACUGAGGAGAUGCCUGAGAAGCCUGAAAUGUCUUCAAAAGAGUGCAGUUACUGUCAUUGCGGCUACUGUUAUUUUGGCCCCUGUGAUUGUGGCUCCAAUGAUGGUGGCACUGGUGAUGGUGGCUCCGGUGAUUGUGACUCCUGCGAUUGCGGGUCCUGUGAUUGCGACUCCUGCGAUUGUGGCUCCUGUGAUUGUGGCUCCUGCGAUUGUGGGUCCUGUGAUUGUGGGUCCUGCGAUUGUGGGUCCUGUGAUUGCGGCUCCUGUGUUAUUCAGUGAAUGCUUGAAGGAUGUUGUUCAGACAGUAAUUAAUCUGUCCAGAGUAGAUGGAUUUGUGGAGACGCCGCGGUGCUCAGGACAGCUUUCAGCUCCAGUGAAGAACAUCAUCAACACAAAGACAACAGCACUGCAAACUACAAUCAAAAUCAGGACGUCUUUAGUGUUAUUAUGAAUGUUAAACAUCAUAAAGAUAAUAUUACCUGUAAAUAACUAAACUGGUUACAUUUUAUGUGAAUGUAUUCAUUAUGCAUGUGAAAUUAUUGUAAAGUUAUACUGCAUUUUCUCUGUAAAAAUACAUAUUUUUCUUUUAUAGAAUGUGGCCUUUUACAGUAUGUGGCCUGAAGCUAAAAUGCUUUUAUCGAUUAUUAACUAAAGAUAUUAGAGUAAAGUUGAUGUUUUUAGUUUUAAUGGUUAGAUUUUAACAAUUAUGUGUUUGUAGUUUAAAUUCAUAUUAAGUAAUAUUCUUUAUUACUGGACUCAAAUGAAAUGUGUUCACAUUGUUACUACAGUAGCAUGCCAUAAAGCAUUUUACAAUAAGAGAACAGUAAAAUUAACAUUAAACUACUGUCAUCUCUGCUGCCAGUAUUUCACUGUUAAUUUGAGCAUGUAAAAGGAUGGUCAACCUUCCUUUUUCCUGUUCCAGUCUAAUCUUCAGUUGAUGAUCUUUGACUGUUAUUUCCUGUUGUUUUCUAAAGUUUGGCACUCUGUGCUGCCAUGCAUUUCAUGGUUUUUAUUUUUUACACUUUUUUUAAAUAGUGCACAUGCUGUUAAGCAGAAUCACUGAAGGAAAGAGGAACAGCAAGAACUACAAAUGACUUCAGCCACAACCACAAAUCAUUAAAUCUCUCAAGAUCUGAUUAAACAACUCCACAAACAGCAUUACCAGCUUCACUGUCUCAAGCUAAUGGCUUUUUUUAUUUGUAUCUGACUGUAUGAUCUAAUUAAGAGAAACUAGAAGUGUCUAUAAUGAACUUUGUCCAUUUGAAUUUCUUCUCAGCACUGCUCAUUGUCUGUAUAUUAGACAUUAUGCAGCAGUGUGUUUAUGGGCUGUAGUAUCCGGAAACAGAGAUAAUUAUAUAAAGUU